GAUUUCCGGUUGACCCGCCGGACUGGAAGUCAUCGCCUGUAACCCGGCCACCGUCACGCUGUUCGGAGCCCGGAACGUCGACCAUUUCACCACGCUCGGCCCGUGGAGCGUCUCGCCUGCCGUUCAGCCUGACGGCGAACCAUCCGCCGCCAAAGCCCCCAAGAUGAUCAUGCGCGCCAUGCAGGAGGGUUCUCACUUUUUUGAAUGGAUACACAAAAAAUCGACGGGCCCGACUUUGCCGCGACCGUGUUGCUCACCCGGGUCACGUUGCGCGGCGAAGCGUGCUUGCAAGCCACUGUCCGCGAUGUCAGCGACCAGAAGCGCGCGGAAGACGCGUUACGGAAAAGCGAAGCGCGGACGAGACUGGUGAUCGAUUCCGCUCUCGAUGCCGUCAUCGCCAUCGACUCCGGCGGACGGAUCAUCGAGUGGAACCCCAGGGCUGAGGUGAUCUUCGGAUGGUCCGCAGGCGAAAUCAUCGGUCAAUCGCUGGCCGGCACCAUCAUUCCGCCUGAAUACCGCGCUGCGCACAUGAAAGGACUCGACACCUUUCUUUCGAACGGGUCAGGACCGAUCCUCAACCGGCGGAUUGAAAUCACGGCGCUCCGGCGGGACGGGGUUGAAUUCCCGAUCGAACUCGCCGUCAAUCCGUUAUGCUUCGACGAAGGGCUACCUUUACGG
rnacentral:rRNA from 1 species